rnacentral:rRNA from 1 species
UACAGGGGGGGCAAGCGUUGUUCGGAAUUACUGGGCGUAAAGGGUCUGUAGGUGGCCAACUAAGUCAGACGUGAAAUCCCUCAGCUUAACUGGGGAACUGCGUCUGAUACUGGAUGGCUUGAGUUCGGGAGAGGGAUGCGGAAUUCCAGGUGUAGCGGUGAAAUGCGUAGAUAUCUGGAGGAACACCGGUGGCGAAGGCGGCAUCCUGGACCGAAACUGACGCUGAGGAGCGAAAGCCAGGGGAGCAAACGGG